rnacentral:rRNA from 1 species
UGAAUACGAGAUGCUACGGCGUCGAAGCAGUGUAUGUCAGACUUCCAAGAAAAGCUCGCAAUGUCAUAAAUAAAGAAUGCCUGUACCAUAACCGACACAGGUGGGUAGGUAGAGUAUACUAAGGGGCGCGAGAUAACUCUCUCUAAGGAACUCGGCAAAAUAACUCCGUAACUUCGGGAGAAGGAGUGCCUUCUAUUAGAAGGUUGCAAUAACAAGAUCCAAGCAACUGUUUAUCAAAAACACAGGUCUCCGCUAAGUCGUAAGACGAUGUAUGGGGGCUGACGCCUGCCCAGUGCCAGAAGGUUAAAGAAGUUGGUUAGCUUUGGCGAAGCUGAUGACUGAAGCCCUGGUGAACGGCGGCCGUAACAAUAACGGUCCUAAGGUAGCGAAAUUCCUUGUCGGGUAAGUUCCGACCCGCACGAAAGGCGUAAUGAUUUGGAUACUGUCUCGGAGAGGGACUCGGUGAAAUAGACUUGUCUGUGAAGAUGCGGACUACCUGCACCAGGACAGAAAGACCCUAUGAAGCUUUACUGUAACUUGAAAUUGAAAUUGGACUUUAUUUGCGCAGCGUAGGUGGAAGGCGUUGAGAUUACUCUUGCGGGAGUACUGGAGCCAUCAGUGAGAUACCACUCCUAUAAUGUUAGAUUUCUAACUUUGGAUCAUGAUCUGGUCAAAGAACAGUUUCAGGCGGGCAGUUUGACUGGGGCGGUCGCCUCCCAAAUGGUAACGGAGGCGUACAAAGGUUUCCUCUGAACGGGUAGAAAUCGUAUCUAGAGUGUAAAGGCAUAAGGAAGCUUGACUGUGAGACCUACAAGUCGAGCAGGGACGAAAGUCGGUCUUAGUGAUCUGACGGUGCUGAGUGGAAAGGCCGUCACUCAGCGGAUAAAAGUUACUCUAGGAUAACAGGCUGAUCUCCCCCAAGAGUUCACAUCGACGGGGAGGUUUGGCACCUCGAUGUCGGCUCAUCGCAUCCUGGGGCGGUAGUACGUCCCAAGGGUUGGGCUGUUCGCCCAUGAAAGCGGUACGCGAGCUGGGUUCAGAACGUCGUGAGACAGUUCGGUCCAUAUCCGGUGUAGGCGUUAGAAUAUUGAGAGGAGCCUUCUUUAGUACGAGAGGACCGAGAAGGACAUACCUCUGGUGUACCAGUUAUCGUGCCAACGGUAAACGCUGGGUAGCUAUGUAUGGAGAGGAUAACCGCUGAAAGCAUCUAAGUGGGAAGCCCACCUCAAGAUGAGUAUUCUCA